GGUCUGCAGUGGUACGGGCAGACUAGAGUGCGGUAGGGAGAUUGGAAUUCCUGGUGUAGCGGUGGAAUGCGCAGAUAUCAGGAGGAACACCGAUGGCGAAGGCAGAUCUCUGGGCCGUAACUGACGCUGAGGAGCGAAAGGGUGGGGAGCAAACAGGCUUAGAUACCCUGGUAGUCCACCCCGUAAACGUUGGGAACUAGUUGUGGGGACCAUUCCACGGUUUCCGUGACGCAGCUAACGCAUUAAGUUCCCCGCCUGGGGAGUACGGCCGCAAGGCUAAAACUCAAAGGAAUUGACGGGGACCCGCACAAGCGGCGGAGCAUGCGGAUUAAUUCGAUGCAACGCGAAGAACCUUACCAAGGCUUGACAUACACCAGAACACCGUAGAAAUACGGGACUCUUUGGACACUGGUGAACAGGUGGUGCAUGGUUGUCGUCAGCUCGUGUCGUGAGAUGUUGGGUUAAGUCCCGCAACGAGCGCAACCCUCGUUCUAUGUUGCCAGCACGUAAUGGUGGGAACUCAUGGGAUACUGCCGGGGUCAACUCGGAGGAAGGUGGGGAUGACGUCAAAUCAUCAUGCCCCUUAUGUCUUGGGCUUCACGCAUGCUACAAUGGCCGGUACAAAGGGCUGCAAUACCGUGAGGUGGAGCGAAUCCCAAAAAGCCGGUCCCAGUUCGGAUUGAGGUCUGCAACUCGACCUCAUGAAGUCGGAGUCGCUAGUAAUCGCAGAUCAGCAACGCUGCGGUGAAUACGUUCCCGGGUCUUGUACACACCGCCCGUCAAGUCAUGAAAGUCGGUAAC
rnacentral:rRNA from 1 species